rnacentral:tRNA from 1 species
CAGAGAAUAGUUUAAGAAAAAUGUUAGUUUUGGGGACUAAAGACAAAAGUUAUUUUUUCUCUGA